rnacentral:rRNA from 1 species
AUUGAACGCUGGCGGCAUGCCUUACACAUGCAAGUCGAACGGUAACAGGUCUUCGGAUGCUGACGAGUGGCGAACGGGUGAGUAAUACAUCGGAACGUGCCCGAUCGUGGGGGAUAACGCAGCGAAAGCUGUGCUAAUACCGCAUACGAUCUACGGAUGAAAGCGGGGAUCGCAAGACCUCGCGCGGACGGAGCGGCCGAUGGCAGAUUAGGUAGUUGGUGGGAUAAAAGCUUACCAAGCCGACGAUCUGUAGCUGGUCUGAGAGGACGACCAGCCACACUGGGACUGAGACACGGCCCAGACUCCUACGGGAGGCAGCAGUGGGGAAUUUUGGACAAUGGGGGAAACCCUGAUCCAGCCAUGCCGCGUGCAGGAUGAAGGCCUUCGGGUUGUAAACUGCUUUGUACGGAACGAAAGGUCCUUCUAAUAAAGAGGGCUCAUGACGGUACCGUAAGAAUAAGCACCGGCUAACUACGUGCCAGCAGCCGCGGU